rnacentral:rRNA from 1 species
CCUACGGGGGGCAGCAGUCGAGAAUCAUUCACAAUGGGCGAAACCCUGAUGGUGCGACGCCGCGUGGGGGAAUGAAGGUCUUCGGAUUGUAAACCCCUGUCAUGUGGGAGCAAGUUAAAAAGCUAGUACCACAAGAGAAAGAGACGGCUAACUCUGUGCCAGCAGCCUCGGUAAUACAGAGGUCUCAAGCGUUGUUCGGAAUCACUGGGCGUAAAGGGUGCGUAGGGUGUUUCGUAAGUCGUGUGUGAAAGGCGCGGGCUCAACCCGCGGACGGCACAUGAUACUGGGAGACUAGAGUAAUGGAGGGGGAGGCGGAAUGCGUGGUGUAGCAGUGAAAUGCGUAGAUAUCGAGAGGAACACUGGUGGCGAAGGCGGGUUCCUGGACAUUAACUGACGCUGAGGCACGAAGGCGAGGGGAGCGAAAGGGAUUAGAUACCCGUGUAGUC